UACGUAGGGUGCAAGCGUUGUCCGGAAUUAUUGGGCGUAAAGAGCUCGUAGGCGGUUUGUCGCGUCGGCUGUGAAAACCUGGGGCUCAACCCCGGGCCUGCAGCCGAUACGGGCAAGCUAGAAUUCGGUAGGGGAGACUGGAAUUCCUGGUGUAGCGGUGAAAUGCGCAGAUAUCAGGAGGAACACCGGUGCGAAGGCGAGUCCCUGGACAACACCUGACACUGAGGCACGAAAGCUAGGGGAGCAAACAGG
rnacentral:rRNA from 1 species